UGAUAUUUAAAAUAUCUUUUUGUUUUAUUUUUAUUAUUUAGAUAAUUUCAUAUAACAGUAUUCAACUUUUAUGAUAAAUAUAUCAAAACA